rfam:Cavia porcellus supercont2_10 genomic scaffold, whole genome shotgun sequence.
UGGUGCCCCAACGUGGGACUCGAGAACGGGAGACUUAGUGAGGGAUGCUGUUUGUCGGCCCAAAGUAGAAAAAGGAAAAGAAAAUAGAGGACCGAUGUGGAAGCCUGCCACACCGCUGAACCUCGGUAAGUGAACAGCGAUUAUGGGACAAGAAAUUAGCCAGCAUGAGAUUUUUGUUAAAAGUUUAAGAAAGGCUUUAAAGAUGCAAAGAGUAAAGGAAAACAUUAAGCAAUUGUCCAUUAGGGCUUAAUGAACUUUAACU